CCUACGGGGGGCAGCAGUAGGGAAUCUUUCAGAAUGGGCGAAAGCCUGAUGGAGCAACGCCGCGUGCAGGAUGAAGGCCUUCGGGUUGUAAACUGCUUUUAUAAGCGAGAAAGAUGAUGGUAACUUAUGAAUAAGGAUCGGCUAACUACGUGCCAGCAGCCGCGGUCAUACGUAGGAUCCGAGCAUUAUCCGGAGUGACUGGGUGUAAAGAGUUGCGUAGGUGGCAUAAUAAGUAGCUAGUGAAAUCUGGUGGCUCAACCAUUCAGACUAUUAGCUAAACUGUUAAGCUCGAGACCGUUAGGGGUAACUGGAAUUUCUAGUGUAGGAGUGAAAUCCGUAGAUAUUAGGAGGAACACCAAUAGCGUAGGCAGGUUGCUGGGACGGUUCUGACACUAAGGCACGAAAGCGUAGGGAGCAAACGGGAUUAGAUACCCCAGUAGUC
rnacentral:rRNA from 1 species